AGGCUCAAACGCACGCGGCUUCCCAAACUCUCUUGCUCCAAUCAUUCAUUCAUUACCUGUUGCUGUUACUAUGAGGAUAUGUUUGGAGAUUUCUGCGGUAAUGUUGUAGUAGAAUACGUAAAUCGUUUCUUUGUUUUGUUGAUUCAAAGGGACGAAAUUAUAUGCACUUUCUUAUUCGAGUGUCGCUCCACCGGAAGGCAGUGGUCCGGUGACUACUGAUUCGGAUUCUUAUGUCUGGUCUCUCGGAUAUCUUCGGAUAGGAUUCAGCUGGCUACGCAUACCGAGAGUGUGGAUCCUAUAAAUGCUGAUGACCUCACUUGUGGUAUCCAUAGGUAAUGUUAGUCUCCAUAUGGUUGCCUCACCUAAGAUGUCUCUGUUACAGACGUGGGUGAAGUGGUGGAACGAACGAUCACUUUAGAGAGAGCAAGCAUAUCCAACGCAGGCAAUGCAGAAACGUCGGGAAACCCUCACGUAGUCCAGCGCAGAAACCGCAGCACCUCCUUCGCUCGCUCCACCAAUGGCGAGGCCAAAUUGAAGUUGACAGUCCCGUCAUUGCCGGCGAGCAUCCGGUACUUGUCCUUCCUCGUGUAGUUGGUGCAUUCGAAGCCAAGCGAGGCCGCCAGGAUCCUCUGCACGUAGUUGGCAACGUCAUGCGGGCUCUUCCCGGCAGAGCACGUCGCCUCCCACGGCAGCUGGUUGAGGAACGUGACCUCGUAGAUUGGCCGGGGGUUCAUGAAGAAGAAGAUGGGGUCCAUCGCCUUCCACCCCCUCGCCGUGGUCGCGUGGAAGAAGCCGACGCGAUAGUUCAUGGCCACCGGCACGAUCCGGUCGGUCAGCUCGGCGAAGAGGGCGCUGAACCGCAGCAGGAAGGGCUCCCUGCAUGUGGUGCCCUCGGGGCACACCACCAGGUCGCCUUUGGCAAGCUCGCUCCUGAUGCGCUCCGCGUCCACCUGCCGGUCCCUGCUCAACCGGACGGUGCGGAUCGGUGACAGGAUCUCCGACAGCCAGGAUAUGGAGUACGUGACGGCCGGGACCUUGCGACCGAGGACCGUCGACAGGACCACCGGAUCCAUGAGGGUGCGGUGGGUGCACACGAAGAGGACGCCGGUGGUAGAGCCGGAGACGGGUGGCGGCGGCCGGCCUCUCACGAUGAGCGCUCCGCCGAACGGGCGUGCGAUGUAAGGGAUGACCCAUAUGGGGACGGUCAGACCCACCGCGAUGCGGACGAAGGCGAGCACUAUACCAAAUGGUAUCCACAAAAUGGUGAGGAGUGCUGUGAAUGGCGUGGGACGGCGCACGAGGCGGCCGUCAUGGAAGAUCACCGGCGGCGGUCGUCUUUGUUCUUCCUCGUUGUGCACCGGGUCAGCGGAGACUGGCAUGCGAUGUAGUUCCUGCUCACGUACCAAAUGUUGUUAUUUGCUCUGUUUAAGGAUAGUUAUCUACUCUGUUUAUACUUGAAGAA